UUAUAUAUUAUUUUAAGGAGUCGUGAUAGCACAUAUCUUGAGAACUCUUACAUUAAUGCAAUAUCCGAUAAUGCUGCAAGCUUUGUGAUAUCAUAAGUUCUUUAUAUCAGUGUUUGUAAUUAUGAUAAAACCGAAAUUUUGUCAGAUCCAAGUCAGAUAACUGAAAAAAUUCUAUCUCGAAGAAGACAGAAUUCUAGGCCUGUGUGAACAAAAUAGCUGCAAUAAGAAAUGCAGUUGAAUGAGUAAUUUGUAACAAAUGUUUUUAAGAACUCAUAAAUGUGAAGUACAGCUAAAAGGCCCUGCUGGUAUCCCAUUUAAAAGGGCCGUCCCUUCUAUCUCAUAUUUAAAUAUUUGUUCCUCAGCAAUUGGCAUCAGAAGAAAAGAAUUCACUUUCCUCAAUUAAUGAUUCGUUAUUUACAGUUUAAUAAUGUACAGAACAUAUCCAGUGGGUCGUGACCUAUUAGCUGGGAAAUUUAUCGUAAACAAAUGCUUUAAGUUCAAGAGAAAAAAGGGGGACUAGAAAAGAAAGAACAAGAGAAAGAAGAGAAAUGAUAAAGGAAAAAGAGAAAGAAAGAAAAUUUUUCAAUCGGCGUAUUGAGAUUUACACAUUGAUAAAUUUCUUAUCCAGUAGGUUGCUAUUUACCAAUUAGGAAGUUCAUUACAAACAACCGUUUCAAAUUCUAGAGAGAAGGAAGAAGAAGAGGAAGAAACGGAAGUAGAUAAACGAGAAAGAAAUUGGUAUCAGAAAAGAAGAAAAAUUUUCAGUGAGUCGUGAUCCACAGGUUGAUAAAUUUCAUAUCUAUGGUUUACGACUCACCAGUUGAAAAGCUUAUUAUUAUAAAGAAAGACCUCGAGUUCUACAAAUGAUGCAUUAACAUUUAUUCCCGAAUAAUGUUACCUUCUUUUAGGUGAGUGCCAACUAAAGAAGGAUCCAUAAAAGCUAAACUAACGUAAGUCGAUCGCUAUUUAUAUGGAAAUUAAUAUUUUUAGAUUAUCUCACAUAGAACAUUUUGUUCAAGAGAUUACUGUACUUUAUGUUGUUAUUAUUUAAUGCAAUCAAUGGAGUAGAAAGAGUAAUUCAUUACUGAGUAGAACGUAUCCCCAUGAUAUUUUCC